CCGCCCGUCGCUACUACCGAUUGGAU
rnacentral:piRNA from 4 species